rnacentral:rRNA from 1 species
UACGGAGGGUGCAAGCGUUAUCCGGAUUCACUGGGUUUAAAGGGUGCGUAGGUGGGUUGGUAAGUCAGUGGUGAAAUCUCCAGGCUUAACUUGGAAACUGCCAUUGAUACUAUCAGUCUUGAAUAUUGUGGAGGUCAGCGGAAUAUGUCAUGUAGCGGUGAAAUGCUUAGAUAUGACAUAGAACACCAAUUGCGAAGGCAGCUCACUACGGGAUUAUUGACACUGAGGCACGAAAGCGUGGGGAUCAAACAGG